rnacentral:tRNA from 1 species
GCCGAAGUGGUGGAAUGGCAGACGCGCCCGACUCAAAAUCGGGUGGGGUAACCCCCCGUGCGGGUUCGAGUCCCGCCUUCGGCACCAGAU